CUGCCAAACAAUGUUGUGGAUUUACUCAUGACUUGGUAUUCCGCAGUCAAUGCACUAUAUAUUCUAUAGACAGUGAAUGAGUCAACCUUAUUUCAGGAAUUCUGAUUUUCGCUGCCCUGCAAUCAGGAAUCACACAAACCCAGGUAAAAGACAUAGAAUUCUAAAUAUACUACCGGUAUUACUAUGGUCACUAUGGCACAAUCCUUG